rnacentral:rRNA from 1 species
GAUGAACGCUGGCGGCGUGCCUAAUACAUGCAAGUCGAGCGAACAGACGAGGAGCUUGCUCCUCUGACGUUAGCCGCGGACGGGUGAGUAACACGUGGAUAACCUACCUAUAAGACUGGGAUAACUUCGGGAAACCGGAGCUAAUACCGGAUAAUAUAUUGAACCGCAUGGUUCAAUAGUGAAAGACGGUUUUGCUGUCUCUUAUAGCUGGAUCCGCGCCGCAUGAGCUAGUUGGUAAGGUAACGGCUUACCAAGGCGACGAUGCGUAGCCGACGUGAGAGAGGGAUCGGCCACACUGGAACUGAGACGCGGUCCAGACUCCUACGGGAGGCAGCAGUAGGGAAUCUUCCGCAAUGGGCGAAAGCCUGACGGAGCAACGCCGCGUGAGUGAUGAAGGUCUUCGGAUCGUAAAACUCUGUUAUUGGGGAAGAACAAAUGUGUAAGUAACUAUGCACGUCUUGACGGUACCUGAUAAGAAAGCCACGGCUAACUACGUG